rnacentral:rRNA from 1 species
CCUGGUGGUUAUGGCGGAGCGGCUGCACCCGAUCCCAUUCCGAACUCGGCCGUGAAACGCUCCAGCGCCGAUGGUACUUUGUCUUAAGACACGGGAGAGUAGGUCGCUGCCAGGUCUGCAAAGGGCACAUAAACAAACAAAACAUCUUCUCAAAUCACAACAAUGCGCUAAAAACGCAAAUCAAUCGCUUAGCAAAAACAAUCUUCAAAAAUAUAAGCGAUCGUAUAUUUAGGGUGGAGCGCCCGUUCGGCCUGAAAUCGAUAAUCAAUCGAUUUCUAUACGGCCUCACCUCAUCAGGCUACGCCUGACUUCGCUCCCGGGCAGCAAGGCUCGACA